rnacentral:rRNA from 1 species
AUUGAACGCUGGCGGCAGGCUUAACACAUGCAAGUCGAACGGUAACAGGAAGCAGCUUGCUGCUUCGCUGACGAGUGGCGGACGGGUGAGUAAUGUCUGGGAAGCUGCCUGAUGGAGGGGGAUAACUACUGGAAACGGUAGCUAAUACCGCAUAAUGUCGCAAGACCAAAGAGGGGGACCUUCGGGCCUCUUGCCAUCGGAUGUGCCCAGAUGGGAUUAGCUUGUUGGUGGGGUAACGGCUCACCAAGGCGACGAUCCCUAGCUGGUCUGAGAGGAUGACCAGCCACACUGGAACUGAGACACGGUCCAGACUCCUACGGGAGGCAGCAGUGGGGAAUAUUGCACAAUGGGCGCAAGCCUGAUGCAGCCAUGCCGCGUGUAUGAAGAAGGCCUUCGGGUUGUAAAGUACUUUCAGCGGGGAGGAAGGGAGUAAAGUUAAUACCUUGGCUCAUUGACGUUACCCGCAGAAGAAGCACCGGCUAACUCCGUG